CCCCCCCCCCGCCCCCGCGUCCUGAGCAUGCGCAGUGGAGUCGACCCCUGGCUGUCUCGUGACUCCCGCAGCCGCGGGCCCGCUGUCUCCACCAGAGGUCACUUCUCGCGGGGAGGCGUCCGCACCUGCCGCGCCCGCGGACCUGUGUCUGCGCCGGCCUCAGGCAGGCCGUAGCACUUCGCUCUCGCUGUGCCAUUACCCUUUGCCGCCUUCAUCUAGCCGCCACCUAGGGUUGAGUGUCCCUGCCUUCUUUCUUGGCAUUUUUUUUGUUUGUUUACUGCCCGGGAGUGGUGCAAACAAUCCUUAGCCGUGUGGACUGACCCUUGACCUGAAUGUAGGAAAGGGCAGGGACACAGGUUUUUGAGUCCUAUGGUGGAGCAAGCCCCUGGCUACUUUCCAUGAGACCAGAGGGAGUCUGAAAAGAUUUCAGAGCUAUCCUCAAGACCUGAAGAAAUGAUUCAUGACCCUAUCUCACCUCUGACCAAUCAGCUGCCCUGUAUAAUCUAAUUUACAGACCUUCAAGGAUUUCCAGCUUUUGAGCCUUAGCUUCCCAUUCUCCUGAAUAAGGUCGUUCAUCAAUAAAUUAGCCAAUAUUUCUC